rnacentral:rRNA from 2 species
UAAGCGGAGGAAAAGAAACUAACAAGGAUUUCCCUAGUAACGGCGAGCGAACCGGAAAGAGCCCAGCUUGAAAAUCUCGGGGCUUUGCCACGAGAAUUGUAGUCUGGAGAAGCGUCCUCUGCAGCGGACCGGGCCCAAGUUCCCUGGAACGGGACGUCGGAGAGGGUGAGAGCCCCGUCGAGCUCGGACCCUGCUGCUCCACGAGGCGCUGUCGGCGAGUCGGGCUGUUUGGGAAUGCAGCCCUAAGUGGGUGGUAAAUUCCAUCCAAGGCUAAAUACGGGCAAGAGACCGAUAGCGAACAAGUACCGCGAGGGAAAGAUGAAA